rnacentral:rRNA from 1 species
CGUCUAUAUACGUAUAGCAUAUCAAUAAGCGGAGGAAAAGAAACUAACAAGGAUUCCCUUAGUAACGGCGAGUGAAGCGGGAAGAGCUCAAAUUUGAAAUCUUCAAGGUUCUACCUUGACGAAUUGUAGUUUAAAGAAGUGUUUUCUGUUAGAGGAGUAGCAAAAGUUCCUUGGAACUGGGACAUCAUAGAGGGUGAGAAUCCCGUAUUUGACCAUUAUUUUCUAGCUGUGUGAUACACUUUCAAAGAGUCGGAUUGUUUGGGAAUGCAGUCCAAAAUGGGUGGUAAAUUUCAUCUAAAGCUAAAUAUUGGCGAGAGACCGAUAGCGAACAAGUACCGUGAGGGAAAGAUGAAAAGAACUUUGAAAAGAGAGUUAAACAGUACGUGAAAUUGUCAAAAGGGAAGCGUUUGACACCAGUGUUGUUUUCUCGAAAAUCAAUUAAGAGUGGCUUGAUUUUGUGUUGUAUUGACCUUAUCAGCUUUCUUCACUCUUUUUCGAAUCUUUCUUAAUGCACUUUUCGGUUAACAAGUCAACAUCAAUUUCUUUUGUUGUAAAAGGGUAUUUGGAAGGUGGCUUUCUUUUCGGAGAAAGUGUUUAUAGCCUUAUACCUCUACAAUCGGAGAGAUUGAGGUCUGCAGCGUAGAUCCUUCGGGGCUAGAUACACUUGUGCUAAGUUAUAGCUUUUCAUAGACAACUUGUUGACUAUGUUUAGUCAUGUAGCUUACCCGCUUGUGCUAUUUUACCUACGCUUAGGAUGUUGAGUCAUCACACAUCUCU